AAAUUUAAACUUUUAUUUUUUUUUUAUAACUUAAAUACAAGAGUUUUGCUAUAAUUUUUUAUUUUUUUAUUUUUUAAAAUUUAUAUUUUGAUUUUUAAAAUUUUAAAUUUACAGGAUUCCAUCAUUUUUUCGUCUAUCUCUUAUAAUAAUAAAAAUAUAUUAAAAAAUUAUUUUUUUUAUAGAAAAAUUAAGGAUAAUCUGGUUAUUUCCUCCUCUUCAUUGACGCUGUAAUAUAUCUCCUAAAAAAUAUUUUUAAAAUUUUAAGGGUAAAAAAAAUAUAGGUUUUUAAAAGUCUAAGAAAAAACUGUAAUACCUCAUUAAUCCUACAUCGGAUGGGAAUGGAUUAUGAUUGGUUAUAUAAGAAAUAAUGUGAAUUAGUAAUAAUAAUCGAGUUUAAGUAUUUUUAGCCAAUGGUUUGGGCCCAAUAAAUUUUUAUUGCUAGCAGGUUAGGUCUUUAUAUUUAUAUUAAGGCCUUUAAAAAAACAAGAGAAUGGAGGAUCUCUAAUACAAGCAUAGACCUCCAAUUAUCCUCAUAUAACAAUACCUAGAAUAUAUAUUUAUACAAUUAUUAAACAUUUAUAAAAUUCUUUUACACACACAUACAAAAAUAAAAUAAAAUAAAAUAAUGUUAGCUAC
rnacentral:lncRNA from 1 species